GGGUUUUUUUUUUUUUUUUUUUUGGUAAAUCUUGGACUUCUGGGUUUAUCUUUGGGAACUUAGAAAACAGAAACUUCCCUAAAGAUCUCAUUAUCUGUGAAGUUCCACAUCAGUCAGCACUUUUUUCUGUUGAUUCACACUUCUUCCAGGAUGCUCCUUACACAGUAAAUUAGGAGGUGUGGUGCAGGUGAUCACAGUUUUAUCUUUAGAUUGAUUUGCAUAGUCAAACCAGACUUGAAAGGGCUGAGGCUUUGAAGGCUGAUAGACUGCUCAGAGAACAAGGCGAGAGGCCAUACUUUAUUCUGAGAACCCAGAGAGGUCAGCAGCGACUGUCUCCCACUGUCUCCCCAACACCCACUGUCUCCCCAACACACCAUCCUCUCAAGGAACAGAGGAUCCCACACUUUGCAUUUUUGUGUAAGCUAUCCUUUUAGCUCUAGGAUGCUGGGUAUUUAGCAUGAUCAGAAACUGAAGGGCGAUACCAAAUGACAACAGUGGAUUUUUUUCCAGCCAAGGUUGCUGACUGCUUCAUGAUGUGGCUUCACCUCCCAGGGUGCACAGCACAGGGUGUCAUGAUGCAACUGUUUAAGUAUCCAGCUGUUGGUGAAGCUCCCAGUCCUGGCAGGCUUCAGGCUUGGAGUUACAAGGGGUCAGAUCAAGGAGAGUUGUUUACUAGCCCUCCUCCAACCCACAUGCCCUGCUUAUACUUAGAAUGUCAAACUCAUAGUUCAGUAAGUGCUUAAACAGAGAAUGUGUGUAUCUGAACAGUGAAAGAACUCCUCUCACCUUAACCCUAUGUGUGCUCUCAGAUACCAGAGUACCUCACUAGCACUCAUAAGCAAGAAGGAUGCUCUGUGACCAGGCACUAUGACCUGUCCACAUCAUCAAGAGGCCCAGCCACCAUUACUACUGCCUCGGCAUUGAGUCAUCGCUUGGUUGUCCCUGUCUGAAACUGGAGACACAGCUUGGACUUAAUGAGUGUAUGAUAACCACAGGGUGUGAGCAAGCCUAUGUUUACUGAGAGCAGCCUGUAUAGGAACCUCAUAGGAAGACAGUACCCAGAUAGCUUCCGUAGUGGAAACGCCCAGAAAGUCUACAUGGGAGACAAUGUUCAGGAACAAAUAAGCCAGAAGGAUAAGAAGACUCCAACAAUUCGCCUCAUGGACCAACAGGCAGCUCAGUAACUUCUUCCCAAGCUCCCAUGCAUGCUUUCCAUCUGGCUCUUGACAUGAAGCGUGAACGAAGAAAUGAGAAGGAAGAAAUGAAAUGAAGAUAAGCCUUGCCAAGUGCUGCUCUGUGUGCCUGACAAUGGCGCACUCCAAGUAUGGGGACCUCCAACCUCUGACCAAUUAGGUUUACAUGUGGACUCAAGCAUCAGAGUUCAAAAGGUCUCUCACUAGCUUGGAAUUUGAUUAAGCUACGCUGGUUGGCCAGUCAGCUCUGGCUCUGUGAGUCCCUGCAGUACUGAGAUUACAAACUCAAAUGAGCUCCUUUCUUCCUGGAAGACACAGCAUCUCCUUAGUAGUGGACAUAAAGCUCUCUGCCACUUGUGACUGCUGCAGGCCAGCCACAGCAUCCAGGUACUGAGGCAGGCAGUGAAGAGUGGUGUUGGUGAUUACAGGGGCAAUAGCAGCAAUUGCUGGGGCUAAAAUAGCUUACUUUGAAUACAUUUUCUCUAUUUUCAACAGUCUGCUAUUCUAAGACCAAAAGCCUCUGGCUUCUGGUAACUAACUCCAGCUGAUAGCAGCAAGGGAUUAAGAAAAAAAGGUUUAACUCUUUUCUCUUUGGCUCAAAGGCCCCUGGGUGGUCAGGCAAGAGGCUUGGAGCUCAGUACUUCUCCAUGAACUGGAGAGAAAAGAGAAGGAAAGAAAGAAAAUCAUUUACACAAAUAACAUGCACACACACACUCACACUGUGGUCAGGCCUGACCACCUGUCUCAUCAACUGCACAAGUGCACAUGCAUACUUAUAGACAUACAAAGGUACCUACAUACAAAUCGACAGACAGAUACAUAAUACAUUUGUUGAAUGAAACUGAGCCCCAGAUGCCACACUUUAUUCCUUCUCUCUGGCCUUCUUAUACCUUCUUGGACAAAAGUUCUUUAUAAAAUUACCUCAGAGAUAAAAUGUUAUGCAAAGGGGGAAUUACAGAAAGAUAUCCAUAGAAAGUUCAAAGCAGUGUUUCACUCUAUAAACUCACUAUAAGUUCAAAGCAACAGAUUCACGUGGCCUUGCUUUAUCACAGCACACACCUAUGGCCUCAUCCUUGGACCUGACCUAGAAUGAAUGCUUUCCUUGAUCACAAAUUUGUCCCAACCCUAUAUCUGUUCUUGGUGUAAUUUAUGAAAGCUCAUUGUAUUCCUUAUUAUGCAGCCUUUCUAUUCUUCAUUCUAACUUUAUUAUAUCUUUUUGGCAAAACAACUAAAAAAAACCAUGUCCUUAAAUUUUCUUCUUAAAAUUAUUUGAGUCAAAUCAGGAAUGUUUUAAUGUAAUUAAUUCACCUAGACAGCAUUAAUUCAUGAAAGUUCAUCUUCAUAUUGAUUUGCAGAAAUUUACUCAACAGAAUGGGUUGAUCCCCAGGAAUCAUUAGACUAUGUCAUGGUGACAGGAAAAGGCAUAUCAGCAGCAAGAAGCAAUCCUGGGAUGAAGUCUCUAAGGACCCUACAUCUCAAAGCUCACCCACUGCAGUCCAUGCAAAACAAUGUACUAUCUCCACAAAGUUCACUGGCACAUCUUAUCCUUUUCUAGAUGGCUUCUAACAGGGGGAUAGGUAAACCAAAAUGGCAUGGCUUUGGUCUUUGUGCCACCAUGGAGUGGGUGGUGGUGGGUGGCAGCCCAGCAACAUAGCGCAUGCAAUUUUAAGUCCUUGUGGCCAUCUGACUUUAAAAAUGGGGCUUAUAGAGGGAGUGUCCACAGCAAGGGCCAAAAUAGCUCUGCCAACUGCUGGUCCAAUAUAUUCACUAUCCUCUUCCUUCUAUUAGAGUCAGGAUCUGGUUGAGCAAGGAAAUUUGUUCCAUCCAGACAGGGCUAGACUUCUGUAGCACAGGACUGUCACCAAGCCAAAUAGCCAUCAUUCUCAGAAGUUUAAUGAGGUCUGAUCACCAAAGAUCAUCCCAGCUACUCACAUAGAAAGGGUGAAGAGGGUUAUGGGAAUCCUCAGUAUCCAGUAUCUCUCUCCUAGUCAGCUGCAUGCAAUUCUGCCCCAAUUUUACAUGCCCUCAGGGCCUAGGGGACUUAGAGGAGAGAGUAGCGAACGCCACCAUCCCUGCUGAGUGAAGACUGGUCCUUCUGAGGAGCAGAGAUCACUGGUAGUCCUAUGAAUAACCUUCAUUUAUGCUCUUGCCUGAUAAACUCACUGGUGCUCCACGGUGAACGUCAAUGGGGUGGAUGUCUAUGCCUCCUCCAUGUAAGGAAUUUCAGCAAUAAUUUUCCGGCAUUCUAUGAGUUAGAUAUCGGUCAGCAGAAGCACAGACCCUGAGGCUGGAGAGAUGGUUCAGUGGAUAUUUUCUUGCUAUAGAGGCAUGAAGACCUGAGUUUGGAUUCCCAAGGCAUAUAUAUACACACCUUCACUGCACACCUGUAAACCCAGAACUGGAGAAGUGGGGACAGUAGAAUCCCUGGAUCUUACUGGCCAGACAUUUUAGUUAAAUCUGUGUGCUCAAACCCAAAAGAUAUUCUAUUCCAUAAAUCGAAACUGGAGAGCAACUGAAGAGAACACCUGAGGUAAGCUGCUGGGCUCAACAACAUGCACACCUGCACACAAACACAUACAGAGGUGCAUGCACCAGGUACGUGCAUAAAAUGCAAAAGAAACAAAACCUUAUUAGCUCUGGAGCCAGCAUCCUGGGUUCUCCUGUCUAGCUUGCUCUAUUAUAAGGAACAGAUGUGACUAAAGGGAACUAGUUUGAUUGGUUUGAGCCUCAACUACUUUUCUGGUAAGAUGCAGGCUUCCUAUCAGGUUUAUUGUCAGGGCUACAAGAAAGGAACACUGCUAAGCACUCGACGAAUAUUAGCUAUGUACAUCAUUGCUGUGAUUUCAACUUCAAAGAUCAGUGAUUGAGACAGAAAAGAGCCUUAGAAGAGGCUGACAUAGCUUCUUACUUCACUCUUGUUACCGCUAACAACACUAAGGAGAUGGCUGGAGUUGUAACAGUAUGAUAGCAUUGAGAACAGAAAUGUAUGGACAGACAUUCAUUUACAUCAGCAGCAGCCAAAGCUGCAGAGUGUAGAGAGACAGAUGAACAGUUAACAAAAGAGUGUGCUCAUGCUAUGGAAUGCUACUCAGACUUGAAAAGAGGGAAAUUCUGACACAUGGUAAAUACAGAUUUAAAAAAAAAAUCCUGGAAACAUCAUAUCACGUGACAUCAAUUGGGAUGGGGCUACUAUUGCUGGGUGAUGCCCUUCCUGUGAGGAACUUAGAGAGGUCAGAUCCGCAGAGAGGAUGGGAGAAGAGAGGACCCUUGCUUAAUAGGCUCAGAAUGACAGUUGUGUAAGAUGACAGAGCUCUGGGGAUAGAAGGUGCAUGAUGUAAUGUCCCUGAACUCUACCCCAAAAUGGUCAAGCUAGUAAACAUUAUACUCUGCAUAUUUUACUGCAAUUUGAAAAUAACAGAAUAUGGGCUGGGAAUAUAGCUCAGUUGGUAGAGUGCUUGCCUAGCAUGCACAAAACCCUCAGUUCGAUCCCCAGCACUGCACGUAACCAGGUGAAGUGGUGCAGACCCAUUCUAGCACUUGAGAAGUGGAAGCAGGAGGGUUGAAAGUCAACAUCUGAUACAACAUCAGCUGUGCUUCCUCCGUAGUUAUUUGCUGUACAUUGCCCAUGUGGCUAGAAGGACAGAGAUGCUUCUCAGGGAAGAAAGCCCUUUUCCUGGUUACUUGUGCUAUAUGGAAACAAAGCAGAAUGCCGCUUACAGAAGCGUUACUUCUUACAGAACUCACACCUGCAGAACAUGGGAACGGAGAUGGCUUGCUGGCUAAGAGUACGCACUGCUCUUUCAGAAGACUUGAAUUCAGCUCUCAUGAGAUCACAACUACCUUCAACCCAGCUCCAGAAGAUCAGACACACUUUCUCCACUUGCCAUACACCACCCCUGCCCAUGCCAUAUGAAUAAAAAUAAAAGCAAAAUCUUAAAAAUCAGAUCUAAAAUAAAGAAUUACACGUUUCCUCAAUAAAAAUUAUGGCUACUUUUUGUUUUUUAUUUUAUUUCCUCUUGAGUCUGAAUAGCAGGGACUCUGGAAAUAAAAGAUAUUGAGAUCACAGGUGAGGUCAUGGUAGAUGGUAGUACAUUAUAAAAAAACAAUUUCAAGUGAAUAAACUCUUAAAAGUCAACUGGAAUGUAGGUCUGUUGAUAAAGUGCCUGCCUGGCAUGUACAAAGCCUGGUGUUUGAUCCCAACCACUGCAAAAGUAAAAGGGAAAGAGAAGAAAAGGGAUGGGUAGAAAGGAGGAGGGAGAAGGGAGGAGGUAGGAAGAGGGAUGAGGGUGGGGGAAAGGGAGGAGGAAGGGAGGGAGGGAAAGAGAGAAUAAACAAAGCUGGUGCUUUGAUGACGCCCACUAUUUUUGACUUAGGACCUUCUCAGUGAGGGAAAUAUGAAGAAAGUUUAGAGGCAGGUACUGAUUUUGACUCUCACCGAACAAACCUCUGGGAAGGCUAUGUAUGGAAGACACUAGCUCGAAGCACAUGAUAAAAAGAAACUCAGUAACCUCACCAUAACUCCUCUCUCUGUUCAGGUAAGACACAAACCACAGUCAGCAAGAUUUACCCCUAAUGUGCUGUUCCAGCAAGUUGUACCUUGGGGAAUACUCUACUUAAAAAUGAGCCCUUCACAUCCUGAACCCU